CUCCAUGAAACCUUGGGACCUGCCUCCUGAGGCAGCCUCCCUUCAUAGCCAUGGAAGAGCAUACCCUUGUUUUAUGGCAAAGCUAGCACCAUCUCAUUGGUAUCAGAUUCUGACUUGGGCAAGUGACAUGG